rnacentral:rRNA from 1 species
GAUGAACGCUGGCGGCGUGCCUAAUACAUGCAAGUCGAGCGAAGCGGGGACGGGUGAGUAACACGUGGAGAACCUCCUUUAAGACUGGGGUAACCUCGGGAAACCGGUGCCUAACCGGCUAAUCAUAGAUGAAUCGAUGCUGCAUUAGCUAGUUGGUCAGGGAACGGCUUACCAAGGCAACGAUGCGUAGCCGACCUGAGAGGGUGAUCGGCCACACUGGAACUGAGACACGGUCCAGACUCCUACGGGAGGCAGCAGUAGGGAAUCUUCCGCAAUGGGCGAAAGCCUGACGGAGCAACGCCGCGUGAGUGAUGAAGGUCUUCGGAUCGUAAAACUCUGUUAUUAGGGAAGCGGUAUCUAACCAGAAAGCCCCGGCUAACUACGUGCCAGCAGCCGCGGUAAUUC